CCUACGGGUGGCAGCAGUGGGGAAUAUUGGACAAUGGGGGGAACCCUGAUCCAGCCAUGCCGCGUGUGUGAAGAAGGCCCUCGGGUUGUAAAGCACUUUCAGUGAGGAAGAACGCCUGGUGGUUAAUACCCAUCAGGAAAGACAUCACUCACAGAAGAAGCACCGGCUAACUCCGUGCCAGCAGCCGCGGUAAUACGGAGGGUGCGAGCGUUAAUCGGAAUUACUGGGCGUAAAGCGCGCGUAGGUGGCUCGAUAAGCCGGUUGUGAAAGCCCCGGGCUCAACCUGGGAACGGCAUCCGGAACUGUCAAGCUAGAGUGCAGGCGAGGAAGGUAGAAUUCCCGGUGUAGCGGUGAAAUGCGUAGAGAUCGGGAGGAAUACCAGUGGCGAAGGCGGCCUUCUGGACUGACACUGACACUGAGGUGCGAAAGCGUGGGUAGCAAACAGGAUUAGAUACCCUAGUAGUA
rnacentral:rRNA from 1 species